rnacentral:rRNA from 1 species
UACGGAGGGUGCGAGCGUUGUCCGGAAUCACUGGGCGUAAAGGGCGCGUAGGCGGCGCGGGGAGUCAACGGUGAAAGCUCGGCGCUCAACGCCGAGUCGGCCGUCGAUACUCCCGUGCUCGAGCACUGUAGAGGCAGGUGGAAUUCCGGGUGGAGCGGUGAAAUGCGUUGAUAUCGAUAGGAACUCCGGUGGCGAAGGCGGCAUACUGGACCACUUCUGACGCUGAGGCGCGAAAGCCAGGGGAGCAAACGGG